CCUACGGGUGGCAGCAGUGAGGAAUAUUGGUCAAUGGUCGGGAGACUGAACCAGCCAAGCCACGUGAGGGAUGAAGGUACAGAGUAUCGUAAACCUCUUUUGUCAGGGAACAAAGGCGGGGACGUGUCCUCGGAUGAGUGUACCUGAAGAAAAAGCAUCGGCUAACUCCGUGCCAGCAGCCGCGGUAAUACGUAGGGGGCAAGCGUUAGCCGGAUUUACUGGGUGUAAAGGGGGCGCAGACGGCAAUGCAAGCCAGAAGUGAAAGCCCGGGGCCCAACCCCGGGACUGCUCUUGGAACUGCAUGGCUGGAGUACAGGAGGGGCAGGCGGAAUUCCUAGUGUAGCGGUGAAAUGCGUAGAUAUUAGGAGGAACACCGGUGGCGAAGGCGGACGGCUGGACUGUGACUGACGUUGAGGCCCGAAGGCGUGGGGAGCAAACAGGAUUAGAUACCCGGGUAGUC
rnacentral:rRNA from 1 species